CGGACUUGGAGCUCAGGAUGAACGAUCCAUCGAACGGGACGUAUAAACUACGGUUGAGGUACGAAGAAGAUCAUGGGAUGCCUUAGAGUGAGGAUGCAACCACCAAAUUCACGAUCGAUGUUUAGUAAAGAUAACUAUGUCAUUAGUAAUAAAGGGAUGUAUUAUUUAAAGUCUAAGUUUGAUUUCAUGAUUUGAGUUAGAUUUUAAUAUUAAUGUUUAAUCAAA